GGAACCCGGGCAAAGCCGCUACUUGAGAGAUUUGGGCUGAGGGGUCAGAGGAAGGAACAGAGAGGAAACGGUGCACCCUCAGAGAAGCCGUCACCAGAGGACCCGUCACCAAGGGACCCGUCACCAGGGGAAGCAGAGCAGCUGGACGAAGCUUCGAAUGCCCUCAGCCACAUUCAGAAUCUUGGCUCCAACGCCGGCAACAUUCUCCUCCUUCGUGUCCGGGCUCGCAGCAGAGGCCGACGGCAGGAUGGGGAUGGCUGGGGUUGCAGGGGUCCCCCUCUGGACGGCUUCCUGAUCCUCCGGGGGCAGCUUGGGGUUAGCAGGAGUCAUCUGUUGUUCUGUGAGGCCAUCCUGGGGGACCAGGUGAGUGGUGGGGUUCUCUGUGGACUGCACAGGUGAACUGAUCUGGGGCUGGGAGUCUGGUGUGUCCAAGGAAUCCUCGGUCUUGGGGGACCACAGCCACCCCAGAGGAUUCAGAGGAUUCAGAGGAUUCAGGGGAUUCAGGGGAUUCAGGGAAUUCCCAUCAGCCCUGGCAGGCACAAGGCAGCAGAAGAGCAGCAGCAGCAGCAGGCAGAGGCGUCUGCUGGGGUCGGGAGCCAUCAGGGCAGUGCAAGCCUCCGAGCUGGGGCGGCUCCUGUGGUCCUGGGGGUGGAGCUUGCCAGAUCCCCACCCUCCCCCAUUCCCAUUUCCCAGCCUCACUCCUCCUCCGCCAUUUCCCUCUGGCAGAAGGGAAGGAACCCAGCCUGAGAAUCAAGGUGACCCACCAACAGGUACCUUCAGAAUCCAUUUAACUCCUUCCUUCUUGCACCUCCAGGAGCAGCUACAGAGUGCAAAAGCCUUCAAGAACCACGACUGUUUGGCUAUUCUGGAUCCCAUGAGGCUCGACACAGCUGGAGUUCUGCUGGUCUGUAAGCAGCUGGGCUGGACCACUGGCAACUUUUCAGAACUUCUUUAAAUUGUUCCAGUGUCCUUUGAUGGCUUUAAAACACACUUUACACGUCUUUUGCUAACUUUGCUCCUUGAUACUUUAUGAAUUUGGGGCGCUAUUAUAAGUUGGCUUUUUCUCUUGACAUUUUUUCCCCCUGUGGAUUUUCUGUUGCCAGUUUGUAGACACACACUGGCUCUGGGAUACUGAGCUUGUGUCCUGCGAUCUAGCAGAACUCAUUAGCUCUGACUGUUUUCUAGUGGGUUCCUUGAGCUUUUUUUUUUUUUUUUUUUUUUUUUUUUUUUUUUUUUUUAAAUAAUUGAAGGCCUGGCAUCUACAAAAAGAGAUAGUUUCAUUUCUUGGUUCACAGUGCAGAGGUCUUUUAUGUUCUUUUCCUUGCCUAACUGGCCUUCUGGUUUAGUGGUGAAUGAAAGGAAUGAAAAAGACAUUCUUGCCUUGUUCCUGACCUCAUGGGAGUAUCCAGCCAUUCAUAAAUAUCAUUUUCUAAGUUGAGGAAGUUCUUUCCAGAGGGGUAUGGAUUUGUAUCUGGGGUACACAAAGAACUCCCAGCACAAGAGUAGUAAGCAAUUCUAUUACCAGAGAUGGAGAAAUCCAAAUAAACGCCACUGCAAUGGAGAUAAAUUCCUAGUGAAGUCAAAGAGGCCUGAAUCCUCAGCCACUGAAAGCCUGAGUACGAAUCACAAGUCCCUGUUUCUCACCCAGCGAGGCUGCCAGCAUCACAAGGCAGAUAGAUGGCAGAGAGCUGGGAAGAUGGCUCAAUGCAAGACAGCAAACCAAGACUCAUCCACUACCGACCAGCGUAAAUGUGGUCCAUCAGUGACAUACUCUACAGCCACAAAAAGGGAUGGAGCGCUGGCAUGUGCUGUGCUGGGGAUGAAAGACAAUUUAGACUCCCCAGAGACAUCCUGCUGAGUGAAAGGAGCCCACACGAUAUGACUCAUUUGCACGGAACACCCAAAAUUGGCAAUCCUGUAGCAGAAAGCCAAAAAAACAGUGUGCAGGGCAGGGGAGGGCUUGGGGAAUGGGCUGGAAGCCAAGCAGUUUAAGGAGAUGUUCUGAAGUUGACGGUAUUAUCUUGGAAUUCACCAAAAGCAAUGAAUUAUAUCUGUAAAUGAGUGGGUUGCAGGCUUGUGAAUUAUGUCAAUAAAUCUGUAAAAGGAAAAGAAAGAAAACACCCACAUCACAUUUCCAAACCCCAAGAUCCUCAAUCUGUAUGUAUUUGAUCUUUAACAAGGUAGAAUUUUUUUUUUUUUUCAAGGAUCUCAUAAAAUGUUUCUUUUGGAA